UGGAGGACCGAACCCACUAACGUUGAAAAGUUAGGGGAUGAGCUGUGGAUAGGGGUGAAAGGCUAAACAAAACUGGAAAUAGCUGGUUCUCUCCGAAAACUAUUUAGGUAGUGCCUCGUGUAUCACCUUCGGGGGUAGAGCACUGUCAUGGUAGUGGGGUCCAUUGCGGAUUACUGCGCCAUAGCAAACUCCGAAUACCGAAGAGUGCGAGCACGGGAGACAGACGACGGGUGCUAACGUCCGCCGUCAAGAGGGAAACAACCCAGACCACCAGCUAAGGUCCCUAAAACGGGCUAAGUGGGAAACGAAGUGGGAAGGCUAAAACAGUCAGGAGGUUGGCUUAGAAGCAGCCAUCCUUUAAAGAAAGCGUAAUAGCUCACUGAUCGAGUCGUCCUGCGCGGAAGAUGUAACGGGGCUAAGCCAGUUACCGAAGCUGUGGAUCACGUAAGUGAUGGUAGGAGAGCGUUCUGUAAGCCUGUGAAGGUGUGGUGUGAACCAUGCUGGAGGUAUCAGAAGUGCGAAUGCUGACAUGAGUAGCGAUAAAGGGGGUGAAAAGCCCCCUCGCCGUAAGCCCAAGGUUUCCUACGCAACGUUCAUCGGCGUAGGGUGAGUCGGCCCCUAAGGCGAGGCAGAGAUGCGUAGCUGAUGGGAAACAGGUUAAUAUUCCUGUACCAUUGUUAAAUGCGAUGGGGGGACGGAUCGCGGAAGGUUGUCCGGGUGUUGGAUGUCCCGGUCCUUGCAUUGGAGAAGGCUAGUAGGCAAAUCCGCUAGCGUAAUUCAAGGAUGUGAGGCGAGCGAAUUUAUUCGCGAAGCAAUCGGAAGUGGUUCCAAGAAAAGCCUCUAAGCUUCAGUUUAACAAGACCGUACCGCAAACCGACACAGGUGGGCGAGAUGAGUAUUCUAAGGCGCUUGAGAGAACUCAGGAGAAGGAACUCGGCAAAUUGGUACCGUAACUUCGGGAUAAGGUACGCCCAAGUAGCUUGACUAUGAACAAUAGAAGGGCAAAAGGGUUGCAAUAAAAUGGUGGCUGCGACUGUUUAAUAAAAACACAGCACUCUGCAAACACGAAAGUGGACGUAUAGGGUGUGACGCCUGCCCGGUGCUGGAAGAUUAAAUGAUGGGGUGCAAGCUCUUGAUUGAAGUCCCAGUAAACGGCGGCCGUAACUAUAACGGUCCUAAGGUAGCGAAAUUCCUUGUCGGGUAAGUUCCGACCUGCACGAAUGGCGUAACGAUGGCCACACUGUCUCCUCCUGAGACUCAGCGAAGUUGAAAUG
rnacentral:rRNA from 1 species